UUCCGUUGCUCUUGUUAGGUCGAAAAUUAGACUGAACUCAAA
rnacentral:sRNA from 1 species